AAGGAAGGUGCUGGAAAGUGUUAUGAGGGGGAGUGCUGCCAGCCUCAACAGCACUAAAGGGUGUGGCUGCUGAGAAGGGGAGGAAGGAAGGUGCUGGGAGGUGUUAUGAGGGGGAGUGCUGCCAGCCUCAACAGCACUAAAGGGUGUGGCUGCUGAGAAGGGGAGGAAGGAAGGUGCUGGGAGGUGUUAUGAGGGGGAGUGCUGCCAGCCUCAACAGCACUAAAGGGUGUGGCUGCUGAGAAGGGGAGGAAGGAAGGUGCUGGGAGGUGUUAUGAGGGGGAGUGCUGCCAGCCUCAACAGCACUAAAGGGUGUGGCUGCUGAGAAGGGGAGGAAGGAAGGUGCUGGGAGGUGUUAUGAGGGGGAGUGCUGCCAGCCUCAACAGCACUAAAGGGUGUGGCUGCUGAGAAGGGGAGGAAGGAAGGUGCUGGGAGGUGUUAUGAGG